UACGUAGGGUGCAAGCGUUGUCCGGAAUUAUUGGGCGUAAAGGGCUCGUAGGCGGUCCGUCACGUCGGGAGUGAAAUCCUGGGGCUUAACCCCAGAACUGCUUCCGAUACGGGCAGACUAGAGGUAGGUAGGGGAGAAUGGAAUUCCUGGUGUAGCGGUGGAAUGCGCAGAUAUCAGGAAGAACACCCGUGGCGAAGGCGGCUCUCUGGGACGGUACUGACGCUGAGACGCGAAAGCGUGGGGAGCGAACAGG
rnacentral:rRNA from 1 species